rnacentral:rRNA from 1 species
UUUGUGGAGAGUUUGAUCCUGGCUCAGGAUGAACGCUGGCGGCGUGCCUAAUACAUGCAAGUCGAGCGAACGGACGAGAAGCUUGCUUCUCUGAUGUUAGCGGCGGACGGGUGAGUAACACGUGGAUAACCUACCUAUAAGACUGGGAUAACUUCGGGAAACCGGAGCUAAUACCGGAUAAUAUUUUGAACCGCAUGGUUCAAAAGUGAAAGACGGUCUUGCUGUCACUUAUAGAUGGAUCCGCGCUGCAUUA